rnacentral:lncRNA from 1 species
GCUGCAUGACGCAAACACUCAACAACAUCUAAACAAGAUUUUUAGUGCUUUUUAGGUGGUGGGUGGGUGCAUUAGGACGUUAAAUGCCACAUCAGCAACAUUAGGAGGAUCAUGAAAAAAAGACAGACACAAGCAGCCAAUAAAAAAACAGUUAAUGUAAAAACUUUCUUUGUUUUUGCUGCUAAACUGGGUUCAAGCCCAGCUUGUUCAACCUGUUUGCUGCUUCAAACAUUUUUCUUGUUAUACAGGAAGAUUUUCUCAUUCUUCCAGACGGUUUUGAGUUUUUCAGCUGACUUCCCGCUCCAUCAGGGUGACAGACACAAACUAAGAGUUUAGAAGCACUUUUUUACUUCUUAAAGGAUAGAGGGAGCACAGAAAGACGAAGAAGCCAAUGUUUUAUCAACACAUUCUGUAAAGGAAAACAGUAAAGUUGGUCCAUCUUCAGAUCACACAAAAAAUCACCGAUCGUACAUUCAUCAAGAAAAGGAGGAAAGACGAAAAUGAGAGGAAGAAGAACAUCUUUGAUCAUGUUAUUUCUAUUUCGGAUGGUCCUUUACGAUGAUCCACUCGCCUCAGCACAAAACUUCACAACAGUUGUGUCGACUGUUGAUACCACAACAAAGACUCCUCCAGUUCCUGGUUACCAAACUAUUCCAGCUAAUGUGACAGUGGCUGCGGGAGAACCUGUGGAGUUUAGAUGCGGAGUUUCCAAGGCAGCUCCAAACCUUACAUUGACUCUUUAUGGGAGCCAUGGAAACUACAGCCUCAAAUGCCCAGAUGGGCACAUAGAAGAUAUUCCCCAGGCUCUCAGUGGAAACUGUUACAUAAAGGAUGGGGAGUCACUGGCUGUGUGGACUAUGAAGGGAACGGCCUUCCCUGACAACGGCACGAGAGUCGUUUGUCAGCAGGAAAACAAUCCCAAAACACCUUCUGCUGUCCUGCAUCUUUAUGAUAAUGGCUCCAUGUACGCUGCUCUUAUUGGAUGCUGCGUCGGGGGCUUCUUUGGAAUCCUAUUGGUGUUCGGGCUGAUGUUCCUCAUUCUAAGAAAUUCUAACCUGCCUGUUCAGUGUCUCGGUAAGCAGCGCUUUACAAUAAUUGACUGUAAAAAAUAACCCAAAGGUAAACUCAUCAACAUGACUUGUUGCUUAAUUCUGUUUUCAGAGAGAAGCCCAGAAGACGACUUGGAAGAUAUAAUAAAAGAAUAACAGAAGGCUUUAAAAAAUAUUUUGGCUUGGAAAAACCCAAUUUAAGUUUGUCCCGUUCUAUUACAAGGAUAUGGUGUAAAUAAAUAUGCAAAACGUUAACUGUAAAGUGAAGUGAAGCUGCAUGACAACAGUAACAAAAUGAUGCUUUUUUAAGCAUUCUUGGUGUAGCGUUUCUUCUUUUUCCUCGGUCUGUUAACUGCAGUUACGUAGUGUGUCCACUUGAGGGAAGCACUGAAAUAAAGACAAGUUCAUCAAAUAUUGCAAAUGGAAAACCAUGAUUUCUUAAGUCAAUUUUUAAUUUGUUUUUGGUUUGUUUCUUAUUUAAAAAAUAAAACAAAAAUGAUUAAAAUAAAAUGAAAAUUAGUUGGAACUAUGAGAAAAUAUAAUAAUAAAGGAAUAGGAAUAAGCAGGAUUGAAGUGAAAUCUUUCCUUUCUCUAGAAUUUAUCUUUGCAUGUUUUUUUUUUUGUUGUUUGUUUUUUUUGUGGGAGUUUAUAACAAAUAAUACAGUUUUUUUCAAGCUUUACCAAACACCAAUGACCUCACCCGGAAAGCUAAACACAAGGCAUAUUAAAACUUUUGUCAUUUCACAAUUGAUACUUUUUUGUCAAAAUUUUUGAAAUUUCUAGGUGACAAACUCAGUUGUAAUCUAACCCACAACAGAAUGGUCCUUCAAAUGAAGCCUGCCUGUUCAGCAGCGUGUGAAGGACACAAAGGAGAAAACAGCCUGUAAAUAAGCAUGCGCGUAGAGUUGCUCAUGUGACCUCACGUCUCAGCUUCCCCUUGGCGAUGACCGCAAAUCUCAGCUAGUGUCAAGAGCAGUGCAUGUUAUUUACUGUUAUCUGCUGUCACACAAAACAUAACAGGAACUCCAGGAUGAAACUACAGCUGGGUGGGACGUGUUUUGUUUGGAGCAUCUUGCAAUAAAGUAUUUGAAAUUUGAAGUGAUGUUUGCGUUCGCUUGGUUGAUUAUGACAUAUUGUAACGUAGACAAAUAAAACACAGAAGUGUCACAUGUUAACACA